GUAGUCUCGCACAGAUGCAUAUCAAUAAGCGGAGGAAAAGAAACUAACAAGGAUUCCCUCAGUAACGGCGAGUGAAGCGGGAAGAGCUCAAAUUUGAAAUCUUGAAAGGUCACCUUUCACUGAAUUGUAGUUUAAAGAAGUGUUUUCUGUUACGAUCGUAAUAUAAGUUCUUUGGAAUAGGACAUCACAGAGGGUGAGAAUCCCGUCUAUGAUUGCGAUUUGUAGCUUUGUGAUACACUUUCAAAGAGUCGGGUUGUUUGGGAAUGCAGCCCAAAACGGGAGGUAAAUUUCUUCUAAGGCUAAAUAUUGGCGAGAGACCGAUAGCGAACAAGUACCGUGAGGGAAAGAUGAAAAGAACUUUGAAAAGAGAGUUAAAUAGUACGUGAAAUUGUCAAAAGGGAAGCGUUUAACACCAGUGUUGUUUUCUGAAAAUCAACCUCUGUUAGCUUUAUGCAUGUUUGUUUAGACCUAAUCAGCUAUCUUGCAUGUUCUAUUGUUUGCAGUGGUGCACUUUUCAGUUUACAGGUCAACAUCAGUUUUUUUUACCGUAAAAAAGUUAAAGAAAGGUAGCUCAUGGCUCCGGUCGUGAGUGUUAUAGUCUUUUUCCUAUGCGGUAGGAGAGACUGAGGUCUGCAGUGUAGGCUAUUUGGCUAGAUACUCAGGUGCUAUGUGAUACCAUUUCAUAAACAACUUGUUGAUUAUGUUUUGUCUAUUGCAUACUCGCUUGUACUAUCAUACCUACGCUUAGGAUGUUGAGUCGUAGAGCACGCAG
rnacentral:rRNA from 1 species